rnacentral:rRNA from 1 species
CUACGGGUCGCAGCAGUGAGGAAUAUUGCACAAUGGGGGGAACCCUGAUGCAGCAAUGCCGCGUGGAGGAUGACGCAUUUCGGUGUGUAAACUCCUUUUAUAUGUCAAGAAAAUGACGGUAGCAUAUGAAUAAGCACCGGCUAACUCCGUGCCAGACAGCCGCGGUAAUACGGAGGGUGCAAGCGUUACUCGGAAUCACUGGGCGUAAAGGACGCGUAGGCGGGUUGGAAAGUCAGGUGUGAAAUCCUACAGCUUAACUGUAGAACUGCACUUGAAACUUCUAAUCUAGAGUAUGGGAGGGGGAGAUGGAAUUAGUGGUGUAGGGGUAAAAUCCGUAGAUAUCACUAGGAAUACCUAAAGCGAAGGCGAUCUCCUGGAACAUUACUGACGCUAAGGCGUGAAAGCGUGGGGAGCAAACAGGAUUAGAUACCCGUGUAGUC